GAUUACGGAGGGGUCCGAAAUACUGUACAGAUAAGACUAAUUACAAGAGAGAUUAGAGAGACUUUUUAAAGAGUAAUGUUUUAACAACAACUGUAACAACAACAAAUCUACUUAGAAAAAA
rnacentral:sRNA from 1 species